GACGAACGCUGGCGGCGUGCUUAACACAUGCAAGUCGAACGGAAAGGCCCUGCUUUUGUGGGGUGCUCGAGUGGCGAACGGGUGAGUAACACGUGAGUAACCUGCCCUUGACUUUGGGAUAACUUCAGGAAACUGGGGCUAAUACCGGAUAGGAGCUCCUGCUGCAUGGUGGGGGUUGGAAAGUUUCGGCGGUUGGGGAUGGACUCGCGGCUUAUCAGCUUGUUGGUGGGGUAGUGGCUUACCAAGGCUUUGACGGGUAGCCGGCCUGAGAGGGUGAGCGGCCACAUUGGGACUGAGAUACGGCCCAGCCUCCUACGGGAGGCAGCAGUGGGGAAUAUUGCACAAUGGGCGGAAGCCUGAUGCAGCAACGCCGCGUGCGGGAUGACGGCCUUCGGGUUGUAAACCGCUUUCGCCUGUGACGAAGCGUGAGUGACGGUAAUGGGUAAAGAAGCACCGGCUAACUACGUG
rnacentral:rRNA from 1 species